UACGUAGGGUGCGAGCGUUGUUCGGAUUUACUGGGCGUAAAGGGCGCGUAGGCGGUUUGUUGCGUCGAAAGUGAAAAUCCGGGGCUUAACUCCGGACUUGCUUUCGAUACGGGCAGACUAGAGGUAGGCAGGGGAGAGUGGAAUUCCUGGUGUAGCGGUGGAAUGCGCAGAUAUCAGGAGGAACACCGGUGGCGAAGGCGGCUCUCUGGGCCUUACCUGACGCUGAGGAGCGAAAGCGUGGGGAGCGAACAGG
rnacentral:rRNA from 1 species